rnacentral:rRNA from 1 species
AGAGUUUGAUCAUGGCUCAGGAUGAACGCUAGCGGCAGGCCUAAUACAUGCAAGUCGAACGAUAGUUGGGGCUUGCCCCAACGAAAAGUGGCGCACGGGUGCGUAACGCGUAUGCAACCUACCUUAAUCAGGGGGAUAGCCCGAAGAAAUUCGGAUUAACACCGCAUAAAAACACAGGAUAGCAUUAUCCAAUGUUCAAAUAUUUAUAGGAUUAAGAUGGGCAUGCGUGACAUUAGUUAGUUGGCGGGGUAACGGCCCACCAAGACCACGAUGUCUAGGGGAUCUGAGAGGAUGACCCCCCACACUGGUACUGAGACACGGACCAGACUCCUACGGGAGGCAGCAGUAAGGAAUAUUGGUCAAUGGAGGCAACUCUGAACCAGCCAUGGCCGCGUGCAGGAAGACAGCCCUCUGGGUCGUAAACUGCUUUUAUUCGGGAAUAAACCUCGUUACGUGUAACGAGCUGAAUGUACCGAAGGAAUAAGGAUCGGCUAACUCCGUGCCAGCAGCCGCGGUAAUACGGAGGAUCCAAGCGUUAUCCGGAUUUAUUGGGUUUAAAGGGUGCGUAGGCGGCUUAUUAAGUCAGGGGUGAAAGACGGUGGCUCAACCAUCGCAGUGCCUUUGAUACUGAUGAGCUUGAAUGGACUAGAGGUAGGCGGAAUGUGACAAGUAGCGGUGAAAUGCAUAGAUAUGUCACAGAACACCGAUUGCGAAGGCAGCUUACUAUGGUUUAAUUGACGCUGAGGCACGAAAGCGUGGGGAUCAAACAGGAUUAGAUACCCUGGUAGUCCACGCCCUAAACGAUGAAUACUCGCUGUUAGCGAUACACAGUUAGCGGCUAAGCGAAAGCGUUAAGUAUUC